UCCCUGAGUUGGAAUCAGGCGGUUUGUCGUCUUUUCGGCUUUACACUUGUCACGCGCGUGAGGCUCCGAGCACCUUCUGCGGCUCGAUGUGCCAUUGCUCUCCGUCACCUAAGCGCCCCACGUCCAGAGAGAUCACUCAGGCUGCCCGGUGGAAGAUGGAUGAGAGGAGGGGAGGCGUCGGACCAGCGAGGAGGCGAUUUCAGGCAAGCAGAAGCAGAACGCACCUGUCUGCACAAGAGCCCUUGUGUUCACUGCUGGCCGCCUUGUGUGAAGACAUGAUGGGGUCACCUCGUCAGGUGGACACACUGACCCACACACACUCCCUCCCCUGGCGCCAGCCUUUCUGGUCUGGUUAUGAGUUUCCUCUGUGACCAUAAUGACUCUGCCCUUCGCCUCGUUCCUCCUUGUCUGCCCUCUCUCUACAAAUAGGAGGCUGCCUGCGCUUCCUCGUCAUCAGACUGAAUAUUCUGCAAAUUAAUAGCCGUCCUGUCACAAUUAGCCUCUCCUGUUGGGCGCCUCUCAUGCCUCUCCAGCUUCUGCAUCUAGAAGGCACAAGACACACUCCCCAAAUGGAAGAUCCAAGCUCACAGACGCGCCAUGCAGGGCACAGACCGUCGGUGACAGCAAAACAAGGUCCCUCAAGUGCCGUAGCUCGAGGCUCAGGAACAGAUGACAGCACAAAAUAUCUUCGGGAUAGAGUAUUUACAAAACUGCUUUAAAGGAAUUGCAUGUCAUUAAUCACCCGUUCUUAAAAAUCAGUCUUCUCUUAUUUGUUCUAAUUUAGCUAAAUGGCCCUGGAAAGGCAGACCGUGGCUUGCUCACUAAACGCCAGUUGAAAAUCAUAAUGUUCCAUCCAAUUUCCAACUCACCCUGUGCUAUGGAGUUUUUUCUCCUCAUAUCUCUCCAGUCCCCAAAUGCUCCAGACGUACGAGAGUCUUCAUUUGAUUCAUUCUAAUAACUUUUUUCAUCAACAUGACUUUGGAGAAGGCAUGGGUACUGCAAAUUAAAUAUUAUUUAUGACUUUAAUUUGUGUCCUAUUUGGCUGUUACA